rnacentral:rRNA from 1 species
UACGAGUGCCCCGAGCGUUAUCCGGAAUUAUUGGGCGUAAAGGGUGCGUAGGUGGUAUUAUUAGUCUCAUGUUAAAGCCUUCAGCUCAACUGAAGAAUCGCAUGGGAAACGGUAGUACUAGAGGAUGUGAGAGGUGUGUAGAACUCAUGGAGUAGGGGUAAAAUCCGUUGAUAUCAUGGGGAAUACCAAAAGCGAAGGCAGCACACUGGCACACUCCUGACACUGAAGCACGAAAGCGUGGGUAGCGAAUGGG